AGUGGGCUGUUCUUCUUUCCCAACGUGUUAAGGGAGAGAGAGAUACCGCCCACCUCA
ensembl:miRNA gmo-mir-11261 gmo-mir-11261